rnacentral:sRNA from 1 species
UGCCUUCUCCCGAGCCAGUCGUCGAGUAC